UACGUAGGGUGCGAGCGUUAAUCGGAAUUACUGGGCGUAAAGCGUGCGCAGGCGGCUUUGCAAGACAGAUGUGAAAUCCCCGGGCUCAACCUGGGAACUGCAUUUGUGACUGCAAGGCUAGAGUACGGCAGAGGGGGAUGGAAUUCCGCGUGUAGCAGUGAAAUGCGUAGAUAUGCGGAGGAACACCAAUGGCGAAGGCAAUCCCCUGGCCCUGUACUGACGCUCAUGCACGAAAGCGUGGGGAGCAAACAGG
rnacentral:rRNA from 1 species